rnacentral:rRNA from 1 species
GUCUAUGGCCAUACCAUCCUGAACGAGCCCAAUUUUGUCUGAUCUCGGAAGCUAAGGAGGGUCGGACCUGGUAAGUACUUGGAUGGGAAUAAUAAUAAGGAAAAACAUACAUC